rnacentral:rRNA from 1 species
ACCUCGGAUCAGGUAGGACUACCCGCUGAACUUAAGCAU